AGAAAAAUUUGUAAGCUCGAUCCAGUCAGAAGGAAGCAUCAAUCUUACCCACGGUGAGGAACAUUUGAAAAAAAGUGACUCCCCAGUGUUCUUCAAAAGCAUCAAGUUCAUGAAAUACCGACUUUUAUGCCAGUUGCUUUACAAUAUUACCUCUCCUAUCUUCCCUGUAUGUCUAUGAGUUAAAAUUACAACUAUCUAUGUGUUGCAGCGAAAAACUGAGUUCGAAAGAGGUUACUUUCAUUCCUGGACUAUACAACUAAUUAUAGGUAAAGCCACAGUUAGCAUCCAGGUCUAUAAAUUCCUAAACUACUGAUUUUAAAUUCUAUCAAACUAUUCUUUGAGGCAAUAUUUUAUUGAAAUUCUAUUUACGUAAAAACAAAACAACACACCCUACUUUAUAUUAUAAAAGAUUUAUUUUUCAAUAGUUCUAAUAAAUUUGGAGAAGCUGUGUUUUUGCCUGGUAGCUGUGAAUAAAACAAAUAUAAUUCAACAGCCAGCCUUGUAGGAAACUGACCAGUCUUCAUGGUUAUAAAUCUUCCAGCUUCCUCAUAUGAAACAGUUAUACAAUCCUUUGUUACCCAAACUUUUCUGUUGUACAAAUCCCACUGAUGUGACAACUUGAGAUCAGCUGCUGAUUUGACUGGGGACAGUCUGACCAAUUGCCAAUAUCACUGAAGCUGUGGGCAUUGUUUUGCCUAAGAAGUGCUGUGUUCCUGAAUUCAAAUAGAUUCGCCCACUGAAUCAUUAUGAAUUUUUAUUUACAGUGAAUUUCCUUGAAAUUUUACGUUCUAAAAAUAAUGUAAAUCUUGAAAAAAAACAAUUAGAUAGCAGAUGCACAGAAAAACUAGAAAUAAGAGUAUCUACAUCCAAUUUUUAUUCCUAAAUCAAACCAUCAUUCAUUCAUUCUAAUCUAAUGUUAGGCCUGUGAUCAUUUUUUUUUAAUAAAUAAACUAUUUUUUAGAGUAGUUUUAGGGCUCAUUCUUGGUGUUGUACAUUCUAUGAGUUUGAACUAGUAUAUAAUGAAAUGUAUCCAACACUGUAGUAUGGGGCAGAAUAAUUUUACUGCCCUAAAAAUCCUCUGUGUUAUGCCCAUUCAUCCCUCUCCCAAACACUAAUAACCGCUAAUCUUUUCUUAUUACCUCUGUGGUUUUGUACUUCAGAAUGUAAUAUAGUUGGAACUACAGAGUAUAUAGCUUUUUCAGAUUGGCUUAUUUUACUUAGCAAUUUGUGUUUCAGGUUUCUUCAUGUCUUUUCAUGGCUUGAUAGCUCAUUUCUCUUUAGCAGUGACUAAUAUUCUAUUAUCUGGAUAUACUACAGUAUAUUUAUCCAUUCCCCUACCAUUGGACAUCUCGGUUACUUCUAAGUUUUGGCAGUUAUGAAUAAAGCUGCUAUAAGUUCUAUGUGCAGGCUUUUGUAUGGACAUAAGUUUUCAAUUCAUUUUGGGUAAAUACCAAAGAGCACUAUUCCUGUUAUAUGGUAAGAGCAUGUUUAAUUUUGUAGGAAAUUUCUGAAGGGUCUUUCAAGGUGGCUAUACCACCCAUGAUCAUAUUUUAAAAUGAACAAAUGCUCUCUAUGAUAAUUAUUUCCUCAUUUUAAAGAAAAUCCAAAAACUCACUGUAAAUUUAAGGGUUGUUUGCAUGUAAACCAUACAUACACCCAGCUCACUCAAAAUCAAUUGGGUCAGAAUCUUUGAAGAGCGGCAUCCAGACACUGAUAUACAGUUUAGACUCUCCUUGAUUCUAUUAGGUAGUUAGGAUUGAGAAUCCUUUAUGUUAAUUAUCCGGGUAGCCACCUAAUCAUCCUACAGCAUUACAUGAAUGCAGUGCCACCACAGCAUUUGUAUUUAUACUUAUAUUUGUGGCAAAUGAUCUAUUAACAUCAUGAUAUUUAACUUUUCAUGCAUUGGUAAGUAUAACUGGCUGUCAUUAGGGCGCUCUGUUCUAUUAUAAAAACGACAAUUGCAUAAAGGAAGCCAUUUAUUCAUGUUGAAUUAGUUUUCCAGUUGUAAAAACAAAACUUCUUUUGCGCUAGUCAUUUACAGCUAAAAAACAUUUUCAUGGAAACCACACUGCAGUUUAACAAAUGACUUUUAAAAAAAAUGACUUGUAAUCACAAGAACAGCACAAAGUAAAUAUAUUGCUCUUUAAUUGUUCCUGGCAACUGAGAAAGAAACAGAGAAAUAUUUAAUAUGAAAAUGAAGAGAUUUUGGCAAGUGAGGAUUAAAUGACCUUUUGAACAUGUUGUACCAAUAAUAUUUCACAAUGUAUGAAAGUGGAGGAGAACUGAAUCAUUGAACAUCUCAUGGUUACAAAGGCAUUUACAUCUCAAAAGACUAUGUUGUUAGAGUUAGUACUAUCUAACUUGAAUGUAACCUAUCUAUGUACUAGUUUGUAAUAAACUGUUACUGGUUAAUGCAAGUGUAUACAACAAAGAUGCCAGGAAUACUAGCAGAGAUACUAAGGCAGAUUCCUUCCUGAGACACUAGGAAUUCUCUGAUGUCCACCUUUAGUUCACAAACUCCCCAGUAGCCUUGAAAACACUUCCUCAUGCUCCCAGAAAUCCAGAAGUGCCAGCCAUCCUUUCCAUCCUUCUUUCCCAAGGGGUCAAACUUCUCUCACACUUCCUGGCUCACUCCCCAUUCUUUCUCAUAGGUGUUUCUCUUAAUGAAAUUCUUCCAUGUUCAUCUGGCUUCUGCUCCUCAGAGGACCGAGUUUAACACAUGCGGCAAUAAAACAUAGCAUGAUGGUUGAAAAUGGGAUUUUUUUUCCCUUACAGCAGAUGCCAUUUAUCAUAUUAAUUUGAUGAAAAUUUUAACAUCAAAUUGUUGAUUUUCUUUAUUUAUAAGUAAAAAAGUGUUUAAACUAUCUUACAUCACUACUAAAAAUAAUGAAGGGUUUCAUUUUUCCUCUAAAACUGGUGUGAAUGCCAUUCAAGUUUGAAAAACUGCCUCAAAUAAAUAUUAACUCACUACAAUUCUCUGUAGCCAAUGGGGGGUAAGGGAAGUAAACUUCCACAAGUUUAUCAAACUGACUUAAAGUAAAUUGUUUUUCAGUUCAGCUAUACUACCUCCAGACACUAAGUCAUGCACUGUGGUGAAUUCUCUCUCCGAGAAUUAUUCUGAGUCGUGCAUGCACCCCUACUAGGAUUCAAAACCAACAUCAACUGCUAAUGUGUGUUUUUACUAAAUGUAUCAGCUCCACCCAGUCUUGCUCAUUCACCACAACCCAGUUUUUAAACACUGCUCAGAUCCCUGCUUCAACCAUUUGUGCCCAUUUUGGCUGCUUUCUCCAAUAAUUUAGGAAAGCCUAGAGGCCAAUAAACAAGUAAACUUGGACAGCCACAAACCACAGUGCCCCAAAUCUAAACUACUGAGUUUGCUUACUUAGCAUACCUCAAGCUGGGGCAAAUCCAUUGCUAGCCUUAGCUGGAGGCCUCCAAAGAACCUCCUGAGAGUGCUCGGAAGGGACCACAUGAACAUAUGUAAAAAGUCAUAGCCUCCCUUAUCAAGGACCCUGCAGUGAACAUUAGGCACAUUUCUUCAAUUGCUCCAUAGCUCUAUUAUCUUUGCUACCAUUCUUAAAAGUUCUUCAGUACCUUUGGGAUCUAACCCACUUUUAAUUUUCUAGGACAACCAGGGUUAGGGAGAUGGAUAUAAGGAAAAACACAAGAUUCUUGGCAUUUCUCUCCUUGUUGCUUUUCAAGUGAGGCUUUCAACAAAUAAGUGAACAGAAGCAGAAAUACAGACACAUUUUCAGUAUUUUCCAUCACUGAAUAACUCCACAGUGUGGAACGUACCAUUAGGGGACUGAGUCCUUUUAUCUUUACAUGCCAUAGAAUCACCUGGAGAGCAGAGGGUGAUAAUUUGCAAAACUAGACGGCAGUAGUACAACUAGGAGAUUGGCAUUGGUUCAACCCAUGUCCCAGACUAGUUAAAAGUGCUCUGGGGGUAGAACUGAAGCACCAGUCAUUCCAGGUUACUCCAAGUUUCAACCACAUUUAAGAUCCAUUACUCUAGGUCUAAGACAUUUGUUCUCAAACUGUGUCAGGCAUUAAAAUCAUCUAGACACUUGUUAAUACAAAGAUUGCUGGGACUUACCCCUCAUUUCUGAUUACCAACCUAAGUAAAGAAUUUGCAUUUCUAACACAUACUCAGGAUAUUGAUGCUGCUGGUCCAAGGGGUUUAAAAUCCAAUACUCUAGGAAAUUCUGUUUUCCAGAAGCUCUAUCAAAUCACACUUUUGCUUAUAUUUUAUUGGCAAUGACUAUGUCGCCUGGACAUCUCUAGCCACAACCAGAAUAUUAAAUAUUUUCUUUGAGCACAGUAUUUCCCCAAAUAAAAACAGAAUUAUCUUAAGAAACAAGGGGAGAAUUGAUAUCCGUGAGGUCAAUACUUACUAAAAAAUUAAUGUCACAUGAACAUAAACAUGGUUAUUUUUGUGGCAUUGGAAUAACUUAACAUUUAUGGAGCCUGGAUGGCAGCCAGUAUCUACCGGCACAGGCUCUUCAACCACCUGGGCUCUGUCCAUGCAGAUAAUGAAGCUCUGGACUAAAAACUAGAAAUGUCUGCUACAGAAAUGUACUGAGGUGAACCACUAUGCCCUAAUUUGUAUGACCUGUCCAUUCUUUAAAGGAAAAAAAAAAGGUUCAUAUUCAGCAACUUUAGCAAGUGUCAAUUUACAUGGGAGCUGGUAUGAUGAAGAGUUAACUUCUAAUGGCUAAGCUGCAUCUUUCCAAAUGUAUCAGAUAUGUUAGCACUUUAAUCUGAUCUGGUUUCAAUCAUUUUUUUUUCUUAUAUACCAUUUCCUUCAGAUUAUUUUUUUCCUCUGAUGAGAUCUCAUAGAAUUCCUAGCUAACACCAUGUAGCUUUAAAGUUUUAGAAUCAUUGCCAGUAGAUUAACUGAGUGGCCGACUGAGGGAGCACAUACCAGUAUAAAGUGUUCUAAAACCGCUAAU
rnacentral:lncRNA from 1 species